AUAACCAAGACAUAUGACGGGAACUGGUCUUGCGAGAUACUCACUUUAAAAGACAUCCUAGGUGUCUCAAACAUAGUGACAGUCGAUAACAGCACGUAUAGACAAACUUUCUGCCGUGCGAGAGUACACAUACAAACACGAACAAACACCAUACAACUUGACACGAGUGAUGAGCCAUGUACUGUGGCUGCAUCUAGAGAACGAACCAUCAGUAAUAAUACCGUUGUCUUCUACUUGGGAGACGAUAUACGUCUUGAAUUUAUUAGUCAACAUUACAUGAAUCGUAUAAUAUGCAACGUGAGUCACCCUUCGAACAGUUUUGACUUCACAGUUAAAGAAAUCGAUCUAAAGCUGUAUCGCUAUGAACAUGAGAAGAAACU